GGAUGAACGCUGGCGGCGUGCCUAAUACAUGCAAGUCGAGCGAACAGAUGAGGAGCUUGCUCCUCUGACGUUCGCGGCGGACGGGUGAGUAACACGUGGAUAACCUACCUAUAAGACUGGGAUAACUUCGGGAAACCGGAGCUAAUACCGGAUAAUAUAUUGAACCGCAUGGUUCAAUAGUGAAAGACGGUUUUGCUGUCACUUAUAGAUGGAUCCGCGCCGCAUUAGCUAGUUGGUAAGGUAACGGCUUACCAAGGCAACGAUGCGUAGCCGACCUGAGAGGGUGAUCGGCCACACUGGAACUGAGACACGGUCCAGACUCCUACGGGAGGCAGCAGUAGGGAAUCUUCCGCAAUGGGCGAAAGCCUGACGGAGCAACGCCGCGUGAGUGAUGAAGGUCUUCGGAUCAUAAAACUCUGUUAUUAGGGAAGAACAAAUGUGUAAGUAACUAUGCACGUCUUGACGGUACCUAAUCAGAAAGCCACGGCUAACUACGUG
rnacentral:rRNA from 1 species